rnacentral:sRNA from 1 species
AAUACUGUUUGCUGUCUUAGUAAAUUGGAUUGCAUAAUUUUGUCCCUUGAAAAUCUGUUACUUAGGGCACAUUGCUCAUUUAUUUAAGGAAUCGCAUAUCAUGCAAACAGAAUACGGCACCGUAAAAUGGUUCAACAACGAAAAAGGCUUUGGCUUCAUUUCUCCUGAAAACGGCGGCAAAGAUCUUUUCGUUCACCACUCCGACAUUCUUGGUUCAGGCUACAAAUCUCUAGAAGAAAACCAACGUGUUUCUUUCGAGCCAGCCCAAGGCCAAAAAGGUCCACAAGCUAAAUCCGUACAAAAAGUUUAAUUUUUGCACGAGUCAAAAAACCCGC